rnacentral:rRNA from 1 species
GACGAACGCUGGCGGCGUGCUUAACACAUGCAAGUCGAACGGAAAGGCCCUGCUUUUGUGGGGUGCUCGAGUGGCGAACGGGUGAGUAACACGUGAGUAACCUGCCCUUGACUUUGGGAUAACUUCAGGAAACUGGGGCUAAUACCGGAUAGGAGCUCCUGCUGCAUGGUGGGGGUUGGAAAGUUUCGGCGGUUGGGGAUGGACUCGCGGCUUAUCAGCUUGUUGGUGGGGUAGUGGCUUACCAAGGCUUUGACGGGUAGCCGGCCUGAGAGGGUGACCGGCCACAUUGGGACUGAGAUACGGCCCAGACUCCUACGGGAGGCAGCAGUGGGGAAUAUUGCACAGUGGGCGGAAGCCUGAUGCAGCAACGCCGCGUGCGGGAUGACGGCCUUCGGGUUGUAAACCGCUUUCGCCUGUGACGAAGCGUGAGUGACGGUAAUGGGUAAAGAAGCACCGGCUAACUACGUGCCAGCAGCCGCGGUGAUACGUAGGGUGCGAGCGUUGUCCGGAUUUAUUGGGCGUAAAGGGCUCGUAGGUGGUUGAUCGCGUCGGAAGUGUAAUCUUGGGGCUUAACCCUGAGCGUGCUUUCGAUACGGGUUGACUUGAGGAAGGUAGGGGAGAAUGGAAUUCCUGGUGGAGCGGUGGAAUGCGCAGAUGUCAGGAGGAACACCAGUGGCGAAGGCGGUUCUCUGGGCCUUUCCUGACGCUGAGGAGCGAAAGCGUGGGGAGCGAACAGGCUUAGAUACCCUGAUAGUCCACGCUGUAAACGGUGGGUACUAGGUGUGGGGUCCAUUCCACGGGUUCCGUGCCGUAGCUAACGCUUUAAGUACCCCGCCUGGGGAGUACGGCCGCAAGGCUAAAACUCAAAGGAAUUGACGGGGCCCCGCACAAGCGGCGGAGCAUGCGGAUUAAUUCGAUGCAACGCGUAGAACCUUACCUGGGUUUGACAUGGAUCGGGAGUGCUCAGAGAUGGGUGUGCCUCUUUUGGGGUCGGUUCACAGGUGGUGCAUGGCUGUCGUCAGCUCGUGUCGUGAGAUGUUGGGUUAAGUCCCGCAACGAGCGCAACCCUUGUUCACUGUUGCCAGCACGUUAUGGUGGGGACUCAGUGGAGACCGCCGGGGUCAACUCGGAGGAAGGUGGGGAUGACGUCAAGUCAUCAUGCCCCUUAUGUCCAGGGCUUCACGCAUGCUACAAUGGCUGGUACAGAGAGUGGCGAGCCUGUGAGGGUGAACGAAUCUCGGAAAGCCGGUCUCAGUUCGGAUUGGGGUCUGCAACUCGACCUCAUGAAGUCGGAGUCGCUAGUAAUCGCAGAUCAGCAACGCUGCGGUGAAUACGUUCCCGGGGCU